rnacentral:lncRNA from 1 species
CGGGAUCCCAUAGGACCAAUCCUAACCGAAGGGAAAAUACAGACACGCACAGAGGGCACACGGUGUGAGGGAGACCAGAGAGAAGACCUAGAGAAGAUGGGGGCAGAAGAUUGGGAUGGCCUCAGUACCCAAGGCUCUUGUCUCAAGUAGAUGAGGGCCUGAGUUCAGAACCCAAGAAAAGCAGCCACAGUGAAUCACCUCUUCUAACCCCAGCAUCCCUGUGGUGAGAUGGAGACAGGAGAAUGACCAAAGUCGAGAGACUCAGCCCUCAGUAAGGUGGAAGAUGACUAAAAUUCAAAGUUGUCCUCUGUCUUUCACGUGUGUGCCACAGCAAGAACAUACCCACACUUACAGGAACACAUGCUCACACCAUACACACGACAUACACACACCAUACACACACAAACACCAUAUACAACACA